GACGAACGCUGGCGGCGUGCCUAAUACAUGCAAGUAGAACGCUGAAGAGAGGAGCUUGCUCUUCUUGGAUGAGUUGCGAACGGGUGAGUAACGCGUAGGUAACCUGCCUGGUAGCGGGGGAUAACUAUUGGAAACGAUAGCUAAUACCGCAUAAUAGUAGAUGUUGCAUGACAUUUGCUUAAAAGGUGCAAUUGCAUCACUACCAGAUGGACCUGCGUUGUAUUAGCUAGUUGGUGAGGUAACGGCUCACCAAGGCAACGAUACAUAGCCGACCUGAGAGGGUGAUCGGCCACACUGGGACUGAGACACGGCCCAGACUCCUACGGGAGGCAGCAGUAGGGAAUCUUCGGCAAUGGACGGAAGUCUGACCGAGCAACGCCGCGUGAGUGAAGAAGGUUUUCGGAUCGUAAAGCUCUGUUGUAAGAGAAGGACGAGUGUGAGAGUGGAAAGUUCACACUGUGACGGUAUCUUACCAGAAAGGGACGGCUAACUACGUG
rnacentral:rRNA from 1 species